rnacentral:hammerhead_ribozyme from 1 species
GUUCUGCUGAUGAGUCCCAUAAUAGGACGAAAUGGCCGUCCAGUGC